rnacentral:rRNA from 1 species
GACGAACGCUGGCGGCGUGCUUAACACAUGCAAGUCGAACGAUGAAGCCGGAGCUUGCUCUGGUGAAUUAGUGGCGAACGGGUGAGUAACACGUGAGUAACCUGCCCUUGACUCUGGGAUAACUGCGGGAAACUGUAGCUAAUACCGGAUACGACCCUCGGAGGCAUCUCCUGGGGGUGGAAAGAAUUUCGGUCAAGGAUGGACUCGCGGCCUAUCAGCUAGUUGGUGAGGGAAAGGCUCACCAAGGCGACGACGGGUAGCCGGCCUGAGAGGGUGAACGGCCACACUGGGGCUGAGACACGGGCCAGACUCCUACGGGAGGCAGACGUGGGGAAUAGUGCACAAUGGGCGAAAGCCGGAUGCAGCAACGCCGCGUGGGGGAUGACGGCCUUCGGGUUGUAAACCUCUUUUAGCAGGGAAGAAGCGAAAGUGACGGUACCUGCAGAAAAAGCACCGGCUAACUACGUGCCAGCCGCCGCCGUAA